rfam:Simian immunodeficiency virus Gag protein (gag) gene, complete cds; Pol protein (pol) gene, partial cds; and Vif protein (vif), Vpr protein (vpr), Tat protein (tat), Rev protein (rev), Vpu protein (vpu), Env protein (env), and Nef protein (
GGACUCGGUCUGCUGCAGCGCGCGUAGCAGAAGGCGAGGC